rnacentral:rRNA from 1 species
UGGGGAAUAUUGCACAAUGGGGGAAACCCUGAUGCAGCCAUGCCGCGUGUAUGAAGAAGGCCUUAGGGUUGAAAGUACUUUCGGUGAUGAGGAAGGUACUUGGUCUAAUAGGCCAGGUUAAUUGACGUUAAUUACAGAAGAAGCACCGGCUAACUCCGUGCCAGCAGCCGCGGUAAUACGGAGGGUGCGAGCGUUAAUCGGAAUGACUGGGCGUAAAGGGCAUGUAGGCGGAUGAUUAAGUUAGGUGUGAAAUCCCCGGGCUCAACUUGGGAAUUGCAUUUAAAACUGGUCGUCUAGAGUAUUGUAGAGGAAGGUAGAAUUCCACGUGUAGCGGUGAAAUGCGUUAGAGAUGUGGAGGAAUACCGGUGGCGAAGGCGGCCUUCUGGACAGAUACUGACGCUGAGAUGCGAAAAGCGUGGGGAGCAAACA